AGCGCUUUUCAAAAGCGCUCUGGUAGGGGUGUUUAAUGAGAGCGCUUUUUGUCAAAAGCGCUGGUAUAGACCAGGCUAUGAGAGCGCUUUUCAGAAGCGCUUUAGUAGCCUUUAUUACUAAAAAUUAAAAACCAAAACACGCGUUACUGUUUCUCAUUUCUCUCUUUCGUUUUCUGCAGAACCCUUCCGUCCACCACUGUUCUUCAUCCACAAACCCUCACUGCACGCGAAACCCUUCCGUCCACCACCAUCGGCAACCACCGUCGGCGUCCCUCCGUCGGCUUCUCCUCCGUCACUCGUUUUAUCCACCGCCGGUCUGACUGGAUUGAUAACUUUGGAUCUCUUUGGAGCUCGUAUCAUUGACUCUGGUACUACAUAUUUAGGAGGGUAACUUGUGUAUAGUGAAAGUUUGAUCGUUUCCCAGCCUAGUUCGACGUUUGGCGUUUUCUUGAGUUCGGUAACAUCCGAGGUUCAAUGGCUUCAGAUAGAGAUGCUCCACCUGAAAACCCACCUGAAAACUUACAAGAAAACUCACAAGAAAGAGUUGCUUCGGAUACAAAUGCUCCACCUGAUACUGAAGCAAAAGAGGUUGCACGAGGCAUCACUAUUAUGAGGAGU